AGAGUUUGAUCAUGGCUCAGGACGAACGCUGGCGGCGUGCCUAAUACAUGCAAGUCGAGCGGAGCUGAUGAGGUGCUUGCACCUCUGAUGCUUAGCGGCGGACGGGUGAGUAACACGUAGGCAACCUGCCCCCUAGAUCGGGAUAACAUUCGGAAACGGAUGCUAAGACCGGAUACACGAUUUGGUCGCAUGAUCGAAUC
rnacentral:rRNA from 1 species